rnacentral:rRNA from 1 species
UUUAAUGGCCGCAGUAAUUUGACUGUGCAAAGGUAGCAUAAUCAAUAGUUUUUUAAUUAAAAGCUUGUAUGAAUGGUUGGACGAGAUAAAAACUGUCUUUAAGUAAUUAUAGUAGAAUUUAAUUUUUUAGUCAAAAAGCUAAAAUAUAUAUAAAAGACGAGAAGACCCUAUAGAGCUUUAUAUUUUAUUUAAAAUUUUUAUUAUAGAUUUAUUUAUUAUUUUUUAAUUUAAAAUAUUUUAUUGGGGUAAUAUAAAGAUUAAAUUAAUUCUUUUUAAUUUUAAUUAUUUAUUUAUAUUUAAAUGAUCUGAUAAUAUUGAUUAUAAGAUUAAGUUACCUUAGGGAUAACAGCGUAAUUUUUUUUGAGAGUUCAUAUUGAUAAAAAAGUUUGCGACCUCGAUGUUGGAUUAAAGAUUAAUUUAGGUGCAAAAGUUUAAAUUUUUGGUCUGUUCGACCAUUAAAUCUUUACAUGAUCUGAGUUCAGACCGGUUUAAGCCAGGUCGGUUUCUAUCUUUAUAAAUUUAAUAUAUUUUAGUACGAAAGGACCAAAUAUAAAUUAUAGUAAAUUAAUAUUUGAAUAUUAAU